GGCCGAAUCUCGUUCCGCCCAGCGGACCCCAGAGCCCGGUGUCAGGACACCCCCUCGCACGUGGCGUCCUGUUUGGAUGACAGUUCAGCGUGUGGCCCCAGCUACCCUGCGAAUGUCUGUCUGGGUGUGCAGCUCCCACGGAGGCGCGGCCCUGCCUCACUGCUCACACGUUUCUCUAGCAACGGAGACCCACGGCUGCCCUCACGUCCCAGGGGAGGGACCUCAGACAGCUGGAGGGUGGGGGGCGAGAGUCUGGGGGAGCCUGCCCUGGUGGUGCCCAGCGCAGCCCCUGGGGCUCCCCGCCCAGCCCAUCUCCCUCCUGGGGGUGGACUCCCCUCCGCUCAGCUGAGCUCGGGCCACCCCUGGGGCUGCGGGGUCAGACCACCCCCACAGCAGCCAGGACCACCCUGCUCCCCACGAGCUGAGCCAGGAGCCUCGAACAUCCCCUCGGCGCUGCGUGAAGGAGACCACAGCCUCCUGGGGUCUGGGCCCUCGUGCUGUCCCCACGAUGCAGCUCUUCAAAACCAGAGUCCAGUGCCCUGAGCAGGUGCUCAGCCUUCUGGGGACGCAGACCGGGCCUGGAGGAGGGAGGCGGCCGCAGAAACCUGAGGCUGUGGGUGUGCCCCUGCGUUCGCUCACUCUCACCUGCUCCUUCCUGCCUUCGCCCCCAUCAUCCAGGGCAUCUGAGUCCAGGGAGCCCUGGCGGGCAGCGCUGAUGGGGAGGCCGCGUGCAGAGACCCAAAGGCCAAAACCCUUCCUCAUGAACACAAAGUGGCUUCGGGGGAGCUACCGAUCAUCAGAAACUCAGUCUGCAUCUGAGAAACAGGGGCUGUCACUGGCCUGACCUGCGCCCAGGGUCCUGGACAGACCGAGGGAGCAGGGACUGUGGGGAGGCCAGGCAGCACCGCCUGAGCCUGGAAGGGGCUGUUCUCUGGGCUCUACAGUUUAGAAGGACUCAGGGGACCUGACACUUUACAGUUUACAAGGACUCAGGGCCCAUCUCUGCUGAGCCCCACCAAGAGCCUGGGAAGGCUGCGUGGUGCCUGCUUGCAGUGUGGUUGCCUAGGAAAGUCAGCUCCGAGCCACCACUGUCCCCGCGGCGCACAGGAGGGACA
rnacentral:lncRNA from 9 species